UGCACCUGGCUACAACAGAGGAAGAAUGACUGUUUCUAGCAUUUGGUCACCCUGGACAAGUGGAAUGGUCAAGUUUCAACAUUCAGAGGUGUCUACAUGGCUCAUCUACACUCUUGUCCCUUAGGAGCUGCAGCUUGGAGGACUUCAACACCGACUAGCGGGCCAUCAAGAAGGAAGAUCCUCUCCAAACUACAACAGGGGCUGCAGCCCUCCUCAGGCCCAACCAGAUGGGAAACAUGGCACUGUGGGGUGUGUUCAUGGUGUGUGGGGCAUGGAUCCAUACUGUGCUGAUCAAGGGCCACUGCUGAGUAAGGUCCAUAGGAGCACCGUGUGUAUGCAUGCGGGACACACUGGGGCAGUUGCAGAUUCAGCACUGCUAUGCGCAAGUUCAAGGUGACCUCUAGGCUGCAGCUUCGUAGCCUCGAAUUGGAGCCAAAUGCACCAGGAAUGGCUACAAAAGUAUGUAGUUUUCACUGAACAAACUUCCUUUCUUGACUUCCAAUCCCACUGUAAUCUAGGUGCUAAUUUCACCUCAAUCCUAAGGUGAAUCGCAAUGAAUGAACAGA
rnacentral:lncRNA from 1 species